AUAAGUCAUGGCUCAGUGGAAGUGCUCUUGCCUAGAAUGUGCAAGGCAUUGGGUUCGAUUCCCAGCACCACUUAUG
rnacentral:tRNA from 1 species